rnacentral:rRNA from 1 species
GUGUGCGAGUCAUUGGGUAUAUUGUUGAAACCUAAGGGCGUAAUUAAAAUAACUAUUUUAUGGGAUUACAAGUGAAUUAAAUUUCAUUUCUUCAUCCCGGGGCGUUCUAUACGAACAUGGUGCAAGCAAUUGAACCCUCUGUUCAAGAGCGUACCUUGAGCAUACAUGCUGUGACCCGAAAGAUGGUGAACUAUACCUGAUCAGAUCGAAGCCAGGAGAAAUUCUGGUGGAGGAUCGAAACAGUUCUGACGUGCAAAUCGAUUGUCAGAAUUGGGUAUAGGGGCGAAAGACCAAUCGAACCAUCUAGUAGCUGGUUCCCUCCGAAGUUUCCCUCAGGAUAGCUGGCGCAAAUAAUUAUAUUGUAUAUAAUCUUAUCUGGUAAAGCGAAUGAUUAGAGGCCUUGGGGCCGAAACGACCUCAACCUAUUCUCAAACUUUAAAUGGGUAAGAACCUCAUCUUUCUUGAUCUGAAGAUAUUGGGGUUUAGAUAUAUUGUGCCCAGUGGGCCACUUUUGGUAAGCAGAACUGGCGCUGUGGGAUGAACCAAACAUGAUGUUACGGCGCCUAAAUUAAUGACUCAUAUUGAUACCAUGAAAGGCGUUGGUUGCUUAAAACAGCAGGACGGUGGACAUGGAAGUCGUAAUCCGCUAAGGAGUGUGUAACAACUCACCUGCCGAAGCAACUAGCCCUUAAAAUGGAUGGCGCUCAAGUCAUAUGCCUAUACAUCAUCGCUAGAAUAAAAAUUGUUGACCGUUUCGGUCAUCAUUAUGAAAUUCUAGUGAGUAGGAGGGUACAAUGGUGUGCGCAGAAGUGUUUGGCGUGAGCCUGCAUGAAGCCGCCAUUGGCACAGAUCUUGGUGGUAGUAGCAAAUAAUCGAAUGAGAUCUUGGAGGACUGAAGUGGAGAAGGGUUUCGUGUGAACAGUGGUUGAUCACGAGUUAGUCGGUCCUAAGCUUUAUGCGAAAGCUGUUUAAUUUAUGUUACACACAAAUUUUUUGUUGUACAUAAUUCAAUAAAAGCGAAAGGGAAUACGGUUCCAAUUCCGUAACCUGUUGAGUAUACGUUUGUUUAUUAAAAAUGGGUCUUAUUACACUCAUCCUGGCAACAGGAACGACCA